UACGUAGGGCGCAAGCGUUGUCCGGAAUUAUUGGGCGUAAAGAGCUCGUAGGCGGCCUGUCGCGUCCGGCUGUGAAAUCCCGGGGCUUAACCCCGGGCGUGCAGUGGAUACGGGCUGGCUGGAGGCAGGCAGGGGAGAACGGAAUUCCCGGUGUAGCGGUGAAAUGCGCAGAUAUCGGGAGGAACACCGGUGGCGAAGGCGGUUCUCUGGGCCUGUACUGACGCUGAGGAGCGAAAGCGUGGGGAGCGAACAGG
rnacentral:rRNA from 1 species